rnacentral:rRNA from 1 species
GAGUUUGAUUAUGGCUCAGGACGAACGCUGGCGGCGUGCCUAAUACAUGCAAGUCGAACGAACGGAGAAAGAAGCUUGCUUUUUUCAAAGUUAGUGGCGAACGGGUGAGUAACACGUGGGUAACCUGCCCAUCAGAGGGGGAUAACAUUCGGAAACGGAUGCUAAAACCGCAUAGGUUCCUUAGUUGCAUGACUGAGGAAGGAAAAGAGGCGUAAGCUUCUGCUGGUGGAUGGACCCGCGGUGCAUUAGCUAGUUGGUGAGGUAACGGCUCACCAAGGCGAUGAUGCAUAGCCGACCUGAGAGGGUGAUCGGCCACAUUGGGACUGAGACACGGCCCAAACUCCUACGGGAGGCAGCAGUAGGGAAUCUUCCGCAAUGGACGCAAGUCUGACGGAGCAACGCCGCGUGAGUGAAGAAGGUUUUCGGAUCGUAAAACUCUGUUGUUAGAGAAGAAUAAGCAUAAUAGUAACUGAUUAU